rnacentral:rRNA from 1 species
GACGGGUGAGUAAUGCUUAGGAAUCUGCCUAUUAGUGGGGGACAACAUUCCGAAAGGAAUGCUAAUACCGCAUACGCCCUACGGGGGAAAGCAGGGGAUCUUCGGACCUUGCGCUAAUAGAUGAGCCUAAGUCAGAUUAGCUAGUUGGUGGGGUAAAGGCCUACCAAGGCGACGAUCUGUAGCGGGUCUGAGAGGAUGAUCCGCCACACUGGGACUGAGACACGGCCCAGACUCCUACGGGAGGCAGCAGUGGGGAAUAUUGGACAAUGGGCGCAAGCCUGAUCCAGCCAUGCCGCGUGUGUGAAGAAGGCCUUUUGGUUGUAAAGCACUUUAAGCGAGGAGGAGGCUACUUGGAUUAAUACUCUAGGAUAGUGGACGUUACUCGCAGAAUAAGCACCGGCUAACUCUGUGCCAGCAGCCGCGGUAAUACAGAGGGUGCGAGCGUUAAUCGGAUUUACUGGGCGUAAAGCGUGCGUAGGCGGCUUUUUAAGUCGGAUGUGAAAUCCCUGAGCUUAACUUAGGAAUUGCAUUCGAUACUGGGAAGCUAGAGUAUGGGAGAGGAUGGUAGAAUUCCAGGUGUAGCGGUGAAACGCGUAGAGAUCUGGAGGAAUACCGAUGGCGAAGGCAGCCAUCUGGCCUAAUACUGACGCUGAGGUACGAAAGCAUGGGGAGCAAACAGGAUUAGAUACCCUGGUAGUCC